rnacentral:rRNA from 1 species
GACGAACGCUGGCGGCGUGCUUAACACAUGCCAGUCGAACGGAAAGGCCUUUUCGGAGGUACUCGAGUGGCGAACGGGUGAGUAACACGUGGGUGAUCUGCCCUGCACUCUGGGAUAAGCCUGGGAAACUGGGUCUAAUACCGGAUAGGACCGCACUUUAGUGUGUGUGGUGGAAAGUUUUUUCGGUGUAGGAUGAGCCCGCGGCCUAUCAGCUUGUUGGUGGGGUAAUGGCCUACCAAGGCGGCGACGGGUAGCCGGACUGAGAGGUUGGUCGGCCACAUUGGGACUGAGAUACGGCCCAGACUCCUACGGGAGGCAGCAGUGGGGAAUAUUGCACAAUGGGCGCAAGCCUGAUGCAGCGACGCCGCGUGGGGGAUGACGGCCUUCGGGUUGGAAACUCCUUUCGCCAGGGACGAAGCGUUUUGUGACGGUACCUGGAGAAGAAGCACCGGCUAACUACGUG